GAUGAACGCUGGCGGCGUGCCUAAUACAUGCCAGUCGAGCGCAGCGGGGACGGGUGAGUAACACGUGGAUAACCUCCUAUAAGACUGGGCUAACUUCGGGAAACCGGAGCUCAACCGGAUACUUUUAGAUGGAUCCGCGCUGCAUUAGCUAGUAGGUAGGGUAACGGCUUACCCAGGAAACGGUGCAUAGCCGACCUGAGAGGGGGAUAGGCCACACUGGAACUGAGACACGGUCCAGACUCCGACGGGAGGCAGCAGUAGGGAAUCUUCCGCAAGGGGCGAAAGCCUGACGGAGCAACGCCGCGUGAGUGAUGAAGGUCUUCGGAUCGGAAAACUCUGUUAUUAGGGAAGCGGUACCUAAUCAGAAAGCCACGGCUAACUACGUGCCAGCAGCCGCGGUAAUAC
rnacentral:rRNA from 1 species